AUUGCAGGCUGCAACCCGCCUGCAUGAAGUUGGAAUCGCUAGUAAUCGCGGAUCAGCAUGCCGCGGUGAAUACGUUCCCGGGCCUUGUACACACCGCCCGUCACACCAUGAGAGUCGGGAACACCCGAAGUCCGUAGCCUGACCGCAAGGGGGGCGCGGCCGAAGGUGGGUUCGAUAAUUGGGGUGAAGUCGUAACAAGGUACC
rnacentral:rRNA from 1 species